UGGCGUUCCCCGGUAGAGACAGCGAAAACAGUGGUGUGUCUAUGGGGGAAGAACACAGGGCUGAUAAACCGGCACCAAGACCGCAGUCAUGUGACCUGUAAAUCACAUCAUGAGCAGGCAGCCACAUGUCUGACAGGGAAUUUAGGUGGUGGUGUGUGGCAGCGGUUCGGUUGGGGAGUGAACCGUUAGAGAUGUUCUACACCAGCCUUCGCCUCUUGCAGUCACGCUCCAUCUGGUCUUCAGACGUGUUGGUGGCAGCACCCAGAGGAGACACUUUGUUCAGCAAGGAGUCAUCUGAUGCCUGACCGAACAGGGCCAUUAGCAAAGCAACACCAAAACCAGUGGCACGCUCCCCCUGCAAAGACAAAAUAAAACACAGAAAACAAGG